CUCUGUUUAACUGCGUUAUUACUUUCUGUAUCUGUUGUAGUUUUCAUUAAAAAAUAUGAGGCAUUAUAUACGGAAUGCUCCUCGUAUAUUCCUUUAGGGUUGGGGGAGGUAGAGUGGUAUAACCUGAAAUCCUUGUUUCAUCAGCUCUACAACGGUCAGGGAAAGAAGCCUUAUAUGUGACUACUCUCCUCAAUUUCUCCUAGCUGUUAUGCUUCCCCCUGCAGCAUACUUCUUUACAUUCCCCUCCACAUAUGUAAAAAUACUACUGAGUGGAACGUUGGUAUUGAUAAUCACAUGAUAACCUCUACUGAUAAGUGCUUUGGGGUGGAUGACAUAGGACAGAGAGGGCUGGAGGGGAAUACAACAAGCAGAAAGAGGAAAGCAUUGAGUGGUUUCAUCUUCGCCAUCCUUAGGACUUUUAUGAGCAGUCUCAGUGCAGUAAUAUUAGCAAUAAUGUACAAAAGUGAAAAUUGUCUAUAAACAAUGCUGAAUGUAUUGUACGGCAGUUGGUGCUCUAUGCAGAUAUAUAAAUUAUGUAGAAAAAUGACUCUCAGUACCAAAAGAAUGCUGUUUAUAGCAUAUUGCCAGGCACUUAAGGUAAUGAUGUCUUUUUGAUUAGGAUGUUAUUUGCUUGUAAAGUGAAGUUAAUUUCAAUUUAUUGUAAAAAUUUUUAUUGGAGUACAGUAAUUGGAAUAUGAUAAUUUAUGUUCAAGUGUAAUAAAGUCAGGAUGAAUUAUCUGUUGUCUAAAACCUACAGACUUUGAUGACUGGGAUACAAACACUUUGUGUGUGAUUAUAUUCCAUACUGUUAAAAUAUUGUGAGAAAUAAGUAACAAAAUGCUGAUGUUGUACAGUCCAUUACAAGUGACUCUUAUUUUAGGUGCUUUUGUUAUCAGUCAUUUUAUUUCAGUGUUAUGAGAAGCUUCAUCUACCUAUCUGCAGCCAAGCUAGAAACUUCUACACCUACCCAAUGAAUUACACGUGCAGCUACUCUUGUCAGCCCCUACCACUUUGGCUCUCAUGUACAUUUCUACUACUGCUCCUUCAUUGUGCUCCAUUUGUGCCAGCAUGCAUGGAAUACGUCCAAUUCAGUGGGACUGUAGGAGGAAUAUAAGGGUGGUCCAGUUCUACAUCAAAAAUUGAGAAGCUCAGGUAAAAAUCUGUUAUUGACUGUAUUGUUUAGAAAGCUGUAUUUUGAUUCUCCCAAACUGAAAACUCUGUGGACUCAUUAUAAUUAACCUAGUAAUUUACACAUGCAAGCAGAUAUUCAUUACUUGUGAUUCUCUAAACAUCGGUGGCAAUGCUCAAUUUUUGACACCAGUCCUGUGCUGGGCAUUGUCCAAUAUGUGAGGUGUAUUUGCCAUACAGAGCAUUUCAAGACUUGGUGCCUCUCGCGUCUUCAGGUAAUUGGUUGUCAACCAACACACUUUAAUUGCCAGUUACAAAGAAGCUGGGAGUGAAACUGAUUAGGAUGCAAUUUUUAUGGUUCUUCUGAUAGCUGGAUAAGGGUUAAUAUAUAAGGUUACUAAUGCUAAUUUCAAUUUUUUACAGGCAUAAAUUUCAUGAGCAUUUGGUGCCAGUUGUCUGUGAAUAUCAGAAACCUCUUCAGGACAUACAUUCCGUUGCAUCUGCACUCAAGAUGUACUUCCUUGAACUUCCAAACCCUCUGUGCACAUACCAGCUCUACCGUGCCUUUGUUGAUGCCUUUCAGCACAGUCCUGAAGUGGGUUGCAGACUUUUCCACAUGCAGCAUGCUGUGCAGAAACUGCCACUUCCACACUAGAGGUAUUUCUGGUGAUGCCUGAUAAUGAAUAAAGAAAUCUGUGACAUGAACAAGUAAUUUACAUAGCUCAUCUCUGUUUAUUGUAUUGUACCCGUUUCACUUGUUAAAAAAAUAAUAUUUUAGGAAACUGGUUGUCAGCAAUUCAGCUGAAUGCCAUCAGUUCAAUUUAACAGUGUUGCAAACCAUAAUAUUUGGUCAGGUCACAUUUCCUCUUUGAAUUCUUGUCAAGCAACUUCCUUAUUUGGCUAUGCUAUACUUUUCAGAUGCUACUUCAGCAAGAGUUACAUGAGUUUACAAGACAUGGAAAUUUAAAGCAGAGGACAUGUUUCUAAAAUGUUAUGGUGUAAUGAUCAAUUUAUGAGUUUGUAUGGGGUAUUUAUUGUGAUUAUUAGAAUAUACCAUACUUUUCAAAGUGUAUGCAAUAAAAUAAUUUGUGUGGGGACUGUA